GCUUAUACACCCACCUAAGAUUGAAAUGGAGAAAAAGGGUGAAUCUAAAAUUCCCUACAAGAUUCUACUAGCAUUUUCUGGCCUGAAGCAGGCUUUGACAACUAACCUUGGAUAUAAUCGGAGAGUUUCCGAGUGUCGAGAGGCUGCAAAGAUCGUUCUAAAGUAAGAUUCAGGGAUUUAUGACGUUCCACUUCGCUGCCAACUAUUCAAUUUCAUGACAAAAACUAUUUUGCAUGUGUACUUUUUACAAGGCAGCUGGGAAAGAAGUUGAGCCUAUUUUAUCUAACGUCGAACGACAAGACUAUACGACUCACAAGUCCAAAUUAGAAGCAGAUCUAGCUAGAAGAGCAAAACACUACUUUUCUGAGAACAUGCGGGUUAUUAAAGGUU